AUUUAUAUAGCGCUUUAUACAAAACAGAUUGUGUCAAAGCAACUGAACAACAUUAAUUAGGAAAACAGUGUGUCAAUAAUGCAAAAUGACAGUUAAAGGCAGUUCAUCACUGAAUUCAGUGAUGUCAUCAUUCAGCUCAGUUCAGUUUAAAUAGUAUCUGUCCAAUAAUUUGCAAACAAGUCAACGAUGUCACUGUAAAUGAAGUGUCCCCAACUAAGCAUGCCAGAGGCAACAGCGGCAAGGAACCAAAACUCCUUCGGUGACAGAAUGGAGAAAAAACCUUGGGAGAAACCAGGCUCAGUCGGGGUGGGCAGUUCCCCUCUGGCUAGACGAAACUAGCAGUUCAAUUCCAGGCUGCAGCAAAGUCAGAUUGUGCAGAAGAAUCAUCUGUUUCCUGUGGUCUUGUCCCGGUGGUCGUCUGAGACAAGGUCUUUUCAGGUUAUCUGGGGCUCAUCUAGUUUUCCUGGUCCCCGCUGUCUUUCAGGGCUGUAGAGGUCCCUUCAAGGUGCUGAUCCACCAUCUGGGCUGGAUACAUACUGGAUCCGGGUGACUGCAGUGACCAUCUGAUCUGGAUACAGACUGGAUAUGGUGGGUACGGUGACCUUGGAAUAAGAGAGAAACAGACUAAUAUUAGCGUAGAUGCCAUUCUUCUUACGAUGUAGCAAGUACUGUACAUCCGGUGUAAUGGGAAGUGUUCCUGGUUCCGGUUUACCUAAUUAAUGCAGCCUAAAAUCCUUUAACAGAUUUGGAUAUUAGAAGUGUAUUAGUGUGUUAUGUGUAAGCCAGGUUAAAGAGAUAGGUCUUUAAUCUAGAUUUAAACUGCAAGAGUGUGUCUGCCUCCCGAACAAUGUUAGGUAGGAUAUUCCAGAGUUUAGGCGCUAAGUAGGAAAAGGAUCUGCCACCCACAGCUGACUUUGAUAUUCUAGGUAUUAUCAAAUUGCCAGAGUUUUGAGAAUGCAGCGGACAUGGAGGACUAUAAUGUAACAAGAACUCAUUCAAAUACUGAGGUGCUAAACCAUUCAGGGCUUUGUAAUUAAUAAGCAAGAUUUUAAAAUCUAUACGAUGUUUAAUAGGUAGCCAGUGCAGUGUUGACAGAACUGGGCUAAUAUGGUCAUAAUUCCUGGUUCUAGUAAGAACUCUAGCUGCUGCAUUUUGGACUAGCUGGAGUUUGUUUAUUAAGCAUUAAUUUAUUUUUAUUAGUUUAUUAAUCUAACCGUGAGGUCAUAAACGCAUUGAUUAACAUUUCUGCAUUUGACAUUGAGAGCAUAGGUCGUAAUUUAGAAAUAUUUUGAUGGAAAAAUGAAGUUUAACAAAUGCUAGAAACGUGGCUUUCUAAGGAAAGACUGCUAUCAAAUAGCACACCUAGGUUCCUAACUAAUGAGGAAGAAUUAACAGAGCAGCCAUCAAGUCUUAGACAGCGUUCUAGGUACAUGCAGUACAUUCAUGCAUUACAUGCAGAGCUUUUAGGUCCUAUAAUUAACACAUCUGUUUUUUUUUUUUUUUUUCAGAAUUUAGUAGUAAGAAAUUACUCGUCAUCCAGUUUUUUAUAUCGACUAUGCAUUCCAUUAGUUUUUCAAAUUGGUAUGUUUCACUACUGUAGGGGCGUCAUGUACAGCAAGCCAAAAGGUAUCACAUUGGACGCAGCUGCCAUUAGACCCAGUAAUCUCUGAAACUGCUUUACAGUGAGUGACUGGCCUUCUCUGACUCUCUUGACUGGUGUGAGGAUCAAAUCGAUACGAGCAGGGGACAGAGGUGCCUGCAUUGUGGAUGGAUCCCACGCCACGCCUAGAUAAGUUCUUGGCGUUCAGUCUCAAACCCAGCUCCCCCAUGUGGGCAAGAACAUUAUCUUGAUGAAGAACCACCAUCUGCUCCGAUUGCACUAAAAUCAACCAAUCGUCGAUAUAGUUUACUAUGUGGAUGCCCUGCAGUCACAGCGGAGCCAGGGCAGCAUCCACACACUUCGUAAAUGUGCGGGGUGAGAGUGGAAGGCCGAAUGGAAGCACUCGAUAUUGGUGUGAUUCGCCCCCGAAAGUGAACAUCAGAAACUUCCUGUGUUGGGGAAGGAUGGAGACAUGGAAGUAUGCAUCUUUGAGAUCUAUCGUGACAAACCAGUCCUCAGACCUGAUUUGAGAUAUGACAUGCUUGAUGGUGAGCAUCUUGAACUUCAGUCGGAUGACUGAGUGGUUUAGCUGAUGCAGAUCUAUGAUCGGAUGCAACCACCCAUCCUUCUUUGGAACUUUGAAAUACCGGCUGUGAAACCCGGAUUCCCUCUCUUGAGGAGGGACCAUCACGAUGGCCUCCUUCCUUAAUAGGGUAUUUACUUCUUGUUCCAUAACCAGAGCCUGCUCGGGUCAGACCAGAGUUGGAAUAACCCCAUUGAAUCUCGGCGGUGGAGAGCCGAACUGAAUGCGAUAGCCUUUUUCUACCAUGUGCAGGACCCAUUGAGAUACAUUUGACAGUAGUUUCCAUGCUGCCAAAUAAUCUACUAAGGGAAUCAGUCUCUCAAAACUGACCUCUGGUGUUCUUGAGGCAGCUAGAUCGGUGCCCUGAAGCGGAGGACAGGCAGAAACUGAAAGCAGCACUCGCUGGAAGCCGCUGCACCCUGGAGCUCUGGCAGGGUUGGCAGACCAGUACCCCACUCUACCCCAGUAGGGGCCGCCCUCUGAAGUCCUUAACCCCUCAUGUCAGGACUUAUUGGCCGAAGACUUCUUAGCUUCGAUGACUGCACUAAGAUCUCUUUUGGGCUUAGAAUUCCCUGGCCCAGAAUGUCGCUGAGGCUCUCGGUCCCGGCGCGGGGGAGCGUGAGAGGCGACGCUCUGUUUUUGAGCCUCGCGGUAUGAGGAGCUGGUAUGCGGAGGGGCAUCUCCCACCCAGAUGCCCCACGAGAGCGACGAGGGAGGAACUCCUGGAAAGCCACCGCUUGCUUAGAAGAUAGCUCACAAGCGUCUGUUCCACCUGUGGCAUUGCUCUGUAGCCAUGCUCUCCCAGCCCCGCCACAUUGCCAUAGUAGUCUGAUGCGGGGAUGAAGAGGUGAGCUGAAAAUGGCCAAUUCCACGAUCUGGGGAUCUCAUCGUGCAGAUUGGGAAAAAAGGGCAGGUUCCGGCAUGGAGCUGAAAGCGUUCAUCAAGCUUGCUUUUCUGUGGUUCAGAUUGCUUUUCGGUGGGCCAGUCGAUGUUCAGCUUGGCAACUGCGCGAGUAACUAUCUCUAAGAGCUCCUCAUACUGGGGCAAUUGAGGUGGGAAAUCCUCUUUGACACUCUCCACAUCAACCUCCUCGGAGGAAGACAGGCAAUGUGUCGAUCGCUUUCCCCGGGGGGAAGAAACCGCAUCGGCAAAAGCGGGGCCAGACCCAUGGGGAACGCUGGCGAAGGCUCCCUCCUCGAAGAGAGCCUUCUGGGAGCGAAGCAUCCGCAUUGGCAAUCGUUCAGAAUGCGGACAGUUGGCUACCUCUAGAGCCGACUCAGCGUGCUUCGCCCCCAAGCAGACCACGCACAGACUGUGUGUAUCCUCACUCGUAAUAUAGCGCGGGCAGGGAGGAACACACAGUCUGAAACGUGAUCUGCUAUUGCCCACAUGUUUGGUCAUAGCUUUUCUCUUUGACAUAUUGGAGCUUAUAAGGACAAACAUCACCAAAUAAGACUCACAAGACAGACUGAUAACACAUGCACACACAGAGCGCUUGUUGAAAACAAGAAAGCUGAUGCCAGCUGCACGGCAUGUGCUUUUAUAGCUUCUUGGUCGCUUAUGUCACCCCGCCUGUGACGUCACGCCCUUCCAUUGGACAGAUUCCAUUGGAUUGUGAUCUGCUGUUGCCCACAAGUUUGGUCUUAGCUUUGCUCUUUGACAUAUUGGAGCAUAUAAGGACAAACAACACCAAAUAAGACUCACAAGACAGACUGAUAACACAUGCAUACACAGAGCACUCGCUGAAAACAAGCUGCGCGGCAUGUGCUUUUAUAGCUUCCUGGUCGCUUACGUCACCCCACCUGUGAAGUCACACCCUUCCAUUGGACAGAUUGCAUACGAUAUUCAGAGUCGCUCACUCUGAAGGCGCCCCCCCCCCCAUAGCGUUCGAUGCAACUCGAGUUUCUGAAGAGGAACUAGAUAUUUUUUUGUGCACAAUUCAUAUACAUAUUUAAAUUCUCGUUUGUGUAUUUUAUAUUCAUAUUUUAAUUUCUAGAUUACUUGGAUGAUCUGCCAGUUUUAGAUGCUACAAACCCAUUGUGUGUGUGUGUGUGUGUGUGUGUGUGUGUGUGUGUGUGUGUGUGUUUUUAAUCAUGCUCAAUUCCAGCACUUUGAUUGACUUUAUCUUCAUGUACAGUUCUGUUAACCAGCUAUUGCACUAACAUUAUGUACAAGCUCAACAAUGCAUCACAGUCUUUUUCAAAGUCAUUCCAAUCAACAACAUGUGAGCCUCUUUUAUGCAGCCUCAGCUGUUCAGCUGAAAGGAUGACACCAAAAUGGCAUUCAAGGAAGACGAAACAAGAGACAAUUCACAGCAUGAACUAAGACGGAUUGUGCAUCCAACAGUAUGUGUAUAAAGACUCCCUUGAGGCUGAGGGAAGAAAAACAAUGCAGCUCAUAUCUGACUCGAAUGACAUUGUGUUUCAGGGUCUUAAAGGAAUAGUUCACCUAAAAAUUAAUUUGCAGAAAAUAUACCCACCCUCAGGCCAUCCUAGAUGUAC
ensembl:lncRNA